rnacentral:rRNA from 1 species
GAAGCAGGAGGGACCACCCUCCAAGGCUAAAUACUACCUAGUGACCGAUAGCGUAUAGUACCGUGAGGGAAAGGUGAAAAGAACCCCGGGAGGGGAGUGAAAUAGAACCUGAAACCCUGCACUUACAAGCUGUGGAAGCACAUUUCUUGUGUGACCGCGUACUUUUUGUAGAACGGGCCAACGAGUUACGUUAAGUAGCAAGGUUAAGCACUUAAGGUGUGGAGCCGUAGCGAAAGCGAGUUUUAACUGAGCGUUCAGUUACUUGACGUAGACCCGAAACCGGGCGACCUACCCAUGAGCAGGAUGAAGCGAAAGUAAAAUUUCGUGGAGGUCCGAACCCACGAGCGUUGAAAAGCUCGGGGAUGACUUGUGGGUAGCGGUGAAAUUCCAAUCGAGCCCGGAGAUAGCUGGUUCUCCCCGAA